ensembl:snoRNA SNORD24 Small nucleolar RNA SNORD24
UGCAGAUGAUGUAAAAGAAUAUUUGCUAUCUUAAGACCACUGAUGACAAUUUCCCACCAAGAUCGCUGAUGCA